rnacentral:rRNA from 1 species
AUACCGGGCCUUCUUGGGCUUGGUAAUUGGAAUGAGGGAGAGUUAAACGGACCAUCGAGUAUCCAUUGGAGGGCAAGUCUGGUGCCAGCAGCUGCGGUAAUACCAGCUCCAAUAGCGUAUAUUAAAGUUGUUGCAGUUAAAAAGCUCGUAGUUGGACUUGUGUGCGCUGUCCGCGGGUGGCCUGCGCCCAAAAGGGCGUUUCGGUUCGGCCCCGGUGGCGCCUUGAAAUCUGCAGCUGGGGGGACGUUGGCCUUAACUGGUCGGCGACCGCACGCCGGCUGCUCGGUUACUGUGAGAAAAUUAGAGUGUUCAAGGCAGGCAUUGGGUGCAAUUGAAUACAUUAGCAUGGAAUAAUAAAAUAUGGCUCCUGCCGUAUUUUGUUGGUUUUGACUGGUGGGAGUAAUGAUUGAUAGGGACGGUUGGGGGUGCUAGUAUUGAGCGGCCAGAGGUGAAAUUCAUGGAUUCGCUCAAGACUAACUUAUGCGAAAGCAUUCACCAAGGACGUCCUCUUUAAUCAAGAACGAAAGUUGGGGGAUCGAAGACGAUCAGAUACCGUCGUAGUCUCAACCAUAAACUAUGUCGACUUGGGAUCGGCGGUAGUUUUUUCAUUAAGACACUGUCGGGACCACGGGAGAAAUCAAAGUGUCUGGACUCUGGGGGAAGUAUGGUCGCAAGGCUGAAACUUGAAGGAAUUGACGGAAGGGCACCACCAGGAGUGGAGCCUGCGGCUUAAUUUGACCCAACACGGGGAAACUUACCAGGUCCAGAGAUGUAGAGGAUUGACAGAUUGAAGCUCUUUCUUGACCACUUCGGUGGUGGUGCAUGGCCGUUCUUAGUUGGUGGAGUGAUUUGUCUGGUUAAUUCCGUUAACGAACGGGACCUCAGCCUGCUAGUGUAGUCGGCUGGAUUGCCUUUGGCGAUCCGUGAUUUCGACUUCUUAGAGGGACAAUCGACGCGCAGUCGAUGGAAGUUUGAGGCAAUAACAGGUCUGUGAUGCCCUUAGAUGUUCUGGGCCGCACGCGCGCUACACUGCUGGGCUCAGCGAGUUUUACUUGGCCGAGAGGCCCGGUUAAUCUUGUGAAAUCCCAGCGUGCUUGGGCUCGCCUCCUGCAACUGGAGGCGCCAACGAGGAAUUCCUAGUAGACGCAGGUCAUCAACCUGCAUCGAUUACGUCCCUGCCCUUUGUACACACCGCCCGUCGUUCCAUAAGAGUGAGGCAUCCGGUGAAUUCUCGGGAGAGCCUGGGCGUGGCCAGCAAUGGUCUGCUCGGGUUUGAACUUGCAUAAACUUGGUGCCUAUGAUUAGGGAAAAGUCGUAACAAGGUUUCCGUAGGUGAUCCUGCGGAAG